rnacentral:piRNA from 1 species
UAUAUUUGAAUUGGCCGCUACAUUGCAG